rnacentral:rRNA from 1 species
CAGUCGCCGCGGUAAUACGUAGGGUGCAAGCGUUAAUCGGAAUUACUGGGCGUAAAGCGUGCGCAGGCGGUGUUGUAAGACUGAUGUGAAAUCCCCGGGCUCAACCUGGGAACUGCAUUGGUGACUGCAACGCUGGAGUGCGGCAGAGGGGGAUGGAAUUCCGCGUGUAGCAGUGAAAUGCGUAGAUAUGCGGAGGAACACCGAUGGCGAAGGCAAUCCCCUGGGCCUGUACUGACGCUCAUGCACGAAAGCGUGGGGAGCAAACAGGAUUAGAUACCCCCGUAGUCCCUGUCUCUUAUAC